rnacentral:rRNA from 1 species
GCCCUUGAGGCGUGGCUUCCGGAGCUAACGCGUUAAGUCGACCGCCUGGGGAGUACGGCCGCAAGGUUAAAACUCAAAUGAAUUGACGGGGGCCCGCACAAGCGGUGGAGCAUGUGGUUUAAUUCGAUGCAACGCGAARAACCUUACCUGGUCUUGACAUCCACAGAACUUGGCAGAGAUGCCUUGGUGCCUUCGGGAACUGUGAGACAGGUGCUGCAUGGCUGUCGUCAGCUCGUGUUGUGAAAUGUUGGGUUAAGUCCCGCAACGAGCGCAACCCUUAUCCUUUGUUGCCAGCGGUCAGGCCGGGAACUCAAAGGAGACUGCCAGUGAUAAACUGGAGGAAGGUGGGGAUGACGUCAAGUCAUCAUGGCCCUUACGACCAGGGCUACACACGUGCUACAAUGGCGCAUACAAAGAGAAGCAAUCUCGCGAGAGCCAGCGGACCUCAUAAAGUGCGUCGUAGUCCGGAUUGGAGUCUGCAACUCGACUCCAUGAAGUCGGAAUCGCUAGUAAUCGUGAAUCAGAAUGUCACGGUGAAUACGUUCCCGGGCCUUGUACACACCGCCCGUCACACCAUGGGAGUGGGUUGCAAAAGAAGUAGGUAGCUUAACCUUCGGGAGGGCGCUUACCACUUUGUGAUUCAUGACUGGGGUGAAGUCGUAACAAGGUAACA